GAAUAACAGGGUAAGACCUGAAUACCAGCAUAGUUCAUUAUUCCUAAACAAAAUAAGAAGUAACCUUCUCUUGGGUUAAGGCUUGAGACAGUCCAUAGCCAGAUCUAAGAAGCAAUUUCGGCAAAUAACUUCAACAGCAGACAGAUUAGAUUUCACAUCAUCACUACUACAACUUUUAGAGAAGAGAUCAAAACCCUAUUUAGCAACUACAAACUAUCGUAUUCCACCUAAAUCUUGGGUUAAAACUCACAGCAGAUCCUCCUGUAGAGACAAAAGAAAGAAAGGAACACCGAACCAAGCUAAACCAAAUAAAUCGCAGAAACCCAGAAAGCAAAAACAGCUAUAGCAAAUCAUCUACAGAGACAACUUUACCAAGAUUAGUAAGUAACAGAUGCUACUCAAGCAAAACAGAAAGAAAUUGAGAUAUAGAAGAAAAGAAAGAAAACACACAGUGCUCCUCCUCUGUUCAGCAGCAACAGCAAGAGCAAAAGCAAUCAGAUCAAGCACAAACACCGCCACCAGCAGCAAAACUGAAGCCAUAUAUAUAUAUAUAUAUAAUGUUAAAACCAAAAUCAAAUCAAAUCAACAGAAAAGACCCAAAAAUAGUUGGUUUCUAUACGUGCUUCUUCCACAAACACAGAAGAACUUGGAGAGGCAAGAAGCGUUAGAUAAUAACAAGCACGAAUGAAACUGGUGGAAAAUUUAAGGAUAAAUAAAUAAAUGAAUAACAUUGUGGGUCAAUUAAAGAUAAAUAAUUACGUACAAGUUCAGGCUUUAAUAUAAUAUAAUAUGCAUAUUAUUAAUUGGGUAGUUUUUUACGUCUCGAGAAAGUUAAUAAUAAAU
rnacentral:lncRNA from 1 species